UACGUAGGGUGCGAGCGUUGUCCGGAAUUAUUGGGCGUAAAGGGCUCGUAGGCGGUUCGUCGCGUCGGGAGUGAAAACUCAGGGCUUAACCCUGAGCCUGCUUCCGAUACGGGCGGACUAGAGGUAGGUAGGGGAGAACGGAAUUCCUGGUGUAGCGGUGGAAUGCGCAGAUAUCAGGAGGAACACCGAUGGCGAAGGCAGUUCUCUUGGCCUUACCUGACGCUGAGGAGCGAAAGCGUGGGGAGCGAACAGG
rnacentral:rRNA from 1 species